UUUAAAUGCAACCAUAAGUUUCCGCGCUCAAUUUUAAUCGUCCGUCUUAUUUGAAUUUUUUUUAUAAUUAGUAUAUUUGUUAUUGUACUUGUGACUUAUUUUUAUUUAAUUUAUUCAAAAAAUUUUCAAAUAAGACGGACGAUCAAAGUUGAGCGUGAAAAACCAUGGCUGCACUUAAA
rfam:Oryza sativa (indica cultivar-group) chromosome 8, whole genome shotgun sequence.